rnacentral:rRNA from 1 species
UGUGGGAGGAAGCUCUUCGGGGUGUAAACCACUGUUGCCCGGGACGAACCGCCUCUUUCGAGAGGCCUGACGGUACCGGGUGAGGAAGCACCGGCUAACUCCGUGCCAGCAGCCGCGGUAAUACGGAGGGUGCGAGCGUUGUCCGGAAUCACUGGGCGUAAAGGGCGCGUAGGUGGCGUGGCAAGCGUGCGGUGAAAGCCCGGGGCUCAACUCCGGGUCGGCCGUGCGAACUGCCAUGCUCGAGCACGGUAGGGGCCAAUGGAAUUCCGGGUGUAGCGGUGGAAUGCGUAGAGAUCCGGAAGAACACCGGUGGCGAAGGCGGUUGGCUGGGCCGUUGCUGACACUGAGGCGCGACAGCGUGGGGAGCAAACAGGAUUAGAUACCCUGGUAGUCCACGCCGUAAACGAUGGGCACUAGGUGCUUGGGGGAGCGACCCCUUGAGUGCCGGCGCUAACGCAUGAAGUGCCCCCCUGGGGAGUACCGGCCGCAAGGCUGAAACUCAAAGGAAUUGACGGGGGCCCGCACAAGCGGUGGAGCAUGUGGUUUAAUUCGACGCAACGCGAAAAACCUUACCUAGGCUUGACAUGCACCGGGCGGUCUUCAA